CACUGUCACUCCUACGGGGAGGCAGCAGUGGGGAAUAUUGCACAAUGGGCGCAAGCCUGAUGCAGCCAUGCCGCGUGUGUGAAGAAGGCCUUCGGGUUGUAAAGCACUUUCAGUCGUGAGGAAGGCGGGUACGUUAAUAGCGUAUUCGUUUGACGUUAGCGACAGAAGAAAGCACCGGCUAACUCCGUGCCAGCAGCCGCGGUAAUACGGAGGGUGCGAGCGUUAAUCGGAAUUACUGGGCGUAAAGCGCAUGCAGGUGGUUUGUUAAGUCAGAUGUGAAAGACCCGGGGCUCAACCUCGGAAUAGCAUUUGAAACUGGCAGACUAGAGUACUGUAGAGGGGGGUAGGAAUUUCAGGUGUAGCGGUGAAAUGCGUAGAGAUCUGAAGGAAUACCGGUGGCGAAGGCGGCCCCCUGGACAGAUACUGACACUCAGAUGCGAAAGCGUGGGGAGCAAACAGGAUUAGAUACCCUGGUAG
rnacentral:rRNA from 1 species